GGAGUUAGCCGGUGCUUCUUCUGUGAGUGAUGUCCUUCCUGCCGGAUAUUAACCCGCAGGCCUUCUUCCUCACUGAAAGUGCUUUAAAACCCGAAGGCCUUCUUCACACACGCGGCAUGGCUGGAUCAGGGUUGCCCCCAUUGUCCAAUAUUCCCCACUGCUGCCUCCCGUAGGAGUCUGGGCCGUGUCUCAGUCCCAGUGUGGCUGAUCAUCCUCUCAGACCAGCUACGGAUCGUCGCCUUGGUGAGCCGUUACCUCACCAACCAGCUAAUCCGACAUAGGCUCAUCCGAUAGCGCGAGGCCCGAAGGUCCCCCGCUUUCCCCCGUAGGGCGUAUGCGGUAUUAGCCUGGGUUUCCCCCAGGUUAUCCCCCACUACCGGGGCAGAUUCCUAUGCAUUACUCACCCGUCCGCCGCUCGCCACCAGGGAGCAAGCUCCCCGUGCUGCCGCUAGACUUGCAUGUGUUAGGCCUGCCGCCAGCGUUCAAUCUGAACCAAGAUCAAAUUCUGA
rnacentral:rRNA from 1 species